rnacentral:rRNA from 1 species
UACGUAGGGUGCAAGCGUUGUCCGGAAUUAUUGGGCGUAAAGAGCUCGUAGGCGGUUCGUCGCGUCGGCUGUGAAAACCUGAGGCUCAACCUCAGGCCUGCAGUCGAUACGGGCGGACUUGAGUACUGCAGGGGAGACUGGAAUUCCUGGUGUAGCGGUGAAAUGCGCAGAUAUCAGGAGGAACACCGGUGGCGAAGGCAGCACUCUGGGACGGUACUGACGCUGAGACGCGAAAGCGUGGGGAGCAAACAGG